GCGCAAGAUUCCCAGGGAGUCGUGCAGAGUCACAGACCAUUCUCCACUCCGUUUCCUAAUGGAGAUCUGACACCCUCCCUCACCCAUCUUCAGAGCUUCCCUUCAUCCCUGGUCAGGCCCUGAUUGAGAGUGCACCCCUCAGUGCUGAGCACUCUGAUCUGGGAUUCCUCCCUCCUCGUCCACACCUCUGUUCCAUCAGCACCUCUGUCAGCCCGAAGGCAACAUGGGUCUUGGGCACAUCUGCUUCUCUCCGUGCCCAUGCACACCCUUCUCCAGGCCCUGGUCCCCUCCCAGCUGGACACCUCCUGCCCCAGCCUCCUCCCUGGUCUUCCUGCUGCCUCUCCCGCCCCCAUCCCAGCCAGGUGCCAACACUGCAGCCAGAGGCAGCUUCGUGAAAUCAACCCUGCUGACAUCCCUCCAUGGCUUCCCAGUGCCUAGAAUCAAUCCAGCCUCUUUCUCUUGACUCACAGGCCCGGUCCCUGGGGUCGCCCUGGAAUCCCUCUGCCAGCCCCUCAUGACUCCUACCCCCUUUCCUCUCUGUGCUCUCGUCACUCUUGCCACCUGUCUUGAUGCUCCUGGAGCCCCCUGAGCCUCUCCCACCUCAUGGCCCUGCACUGGUGUCCUCCUCCUGGCCCUCACUCUCCCUGGAGCAGUCUCAUUCUUGUCCUUCAGGUUCCAGGCUAAACAGUGCUUCCCACGAGAGGCUUCCCUGACCCGCGGUUUGCCGCCUCUGCCCUCUCCCUGUAUCCUGUCAUUGAGCACGUUUUGUCCUCACUGACACCCUCUCCUGGCUAAAUCCCCCACUCCUUGCUGGACUGGGUGCCUGGGGAGGGCAGGGAGAGGCCUCCUCUGUCUUGGUCACUACUUCAUCCCCAGGGCCUUGAACUGUGCUCUGCACAAGAUCCAUUAAGUGAAUGAAUCACAACAAUGAGGCUGCAGCUCCCCAGCACCUUCUAUGCCCUCCCCCUCCCCAUCUAAUCUAGUUUAGUGAAUGGAACAGCGGGGGAUUCAAGGCAGCUGUUGCUCCUCAGUGUGGCGCUAGUUGGGGAGUUAGAGGGAAGAGUUCAGUUUGACUCCAGGACAGGGCUUGAAUAAUUCAGAACACUGUUUUUUUUUCUUUUGCCACAGAGUCUCACUCUGCUGCCCAGGCUGAAGUGCAAUGGCAUGAUCUCUACUCACUGCAACCUCUGCCUCCCAGGUUCAAGUGAUUCUCCUGUCUCAGCCUCCCAAGUAGCUGGGAUUACAGGCAUGCACCACCUGGAUAAUUUUUGUAUUUUUAGUAAAGACAGUGUUUCACCAUGUUGACCAGGCUUGUCCUGAACUCCUGACCUCAAGUGAUCCACCCACCUCAGCCUCCCAAAGUGCUGGGAUUACAGGCAUGAGCUACCACACCUGGCCCAGAACAUUAUUGAUGACACCCCUGAGGCUGGGGAGCCAUGACCCUGCCCCUUUAAGGACCCUGCUCCGAACUGAAACAGUAACACACAUCCAUGAGCUAGGACAGGGAAGAGAAUGACAAGGACUCUAAACCACCCAGCAGUGAAAUUUCCAAUGGAAAUAAGACCCACUGGGCCCCUCUGUGUUGGGGGUGGAGUGGGGGAGGGCAGCACUCCUGGAGACUCAGAUCGGUUUUCAGGUUGUUUGCCCCAGCACUAAGCCGAGAAGUGAGCAAGGAGGGUUUGAAGCUUCAAGUCCACACCCAAGGUCUGCUCAGUGGGAAAUCCUUCAUCCCUGAACCCACCAGCAAUUCCAGACCCAGGGGUGAAGGGAGGUGCAGGUUUGGCCAAGGCAUCCCCAGGGACAAGCACGGAUGACAGCAGAUGCUGCUGUCUCUUGGGGCCUGCACCUCGGCAGAGGCUGAUUCCAGCUUGCAGUUCUCCGCCACUUGCAGGUCAUGGAGGACAUUCAGGACUUGAGCACUUACCAAAUCACCUUUGAAGUGGAGCCCUGUGUGUGCUGAGACCACUAGGACCCUGGAACGGGUGCCCGUCACUCACAGAGCCUGUCAGCUUCAGAGGCUGGAAAUGGAAAUCCCAGGCCUACUUGUACACAGGAAUCUCCUGGAGCGAGGAUGUCCUCUUUUCUGAUACCCGCAGAACUGGCAUUUAAGGGGAUGCCUGUGCAGUAUAGCGAAGGAUAGAGCCUCAGAAAUAGCCCUUCUGGAUCAAUCACGUCUCUAGUUUCUAUAAAUGGAAGCUUAACAUCUGCUCUGCAUGUGUAUGCCAGAUCCACCUUGUUCUGGACAACCCUGUGACAUGCCUGAGUCACCCAGCCUUGGCCCUUCCCUGCUCACUGCCUCCUCUCCCUCCUUCGAGAGAAGUCAUCCUCCCAGGAAUGUGCUUUUCAAAUACAAACCAACCAAUCCAGAGUCCACACACCGUACUAACUGGGCUCUCAUGAUCCAGGCCACUGUCCUCCUGCCCUAAUCACCUCAGGGCCAGGUACCAGACAACCAAGGACAGCACCUGUGCCCCAGAGCCUGCGGAGAUUACCUACUCACCCUGCCUCGCCCAUUCCUUCCUGCAGAAAACACAACUCAGACUCUUGCCCACAGUUCCCCAGCCCCUCUUGUGACUGACCCUGGUGCCUCCCCAUGUGACCCCACCAUGGCAUCAUGGGGGCUCCCUCUCUUGGGACCUGUUGGCAUGAUAAGCUAUGUUUCCAAUAGCAGUCAUCUCCUCAUCUCGGCCUCAUCACACCUAAAGAAUAAUAAAACCCGUUGAAACACCUUCAACUCAACAGGACAGACUGGCCCAUUGGAAUCAUUUAGACUUGCAGACAUUUUGUUCAUGCUGUACAGCGUUUCUUCCAGGUACUCUGUUUCGCAGCAGAAAGAGCAGGGCUGAGAUUCACAGACCUGACUUCAGAUCCCCCUUCUAUCACUUACUAGCAUGUGGUCAUCUAUAAUUUACAUAGAUGUGGAAUAAUCCACAGUUUUGAGUAUUUUACUCUCUAGACCUGUGGAAAAUUACUGCUUCCUUUAGUCCUAAAUGUGGAAAAGAAAAUUUGUGUUUAUAUUGUGCCACAAUCUGGGGGGAGGGAGGGAGGGAGAAAAAUGUCAUAUCUGAAACACUCAAAUGAAAACCUUAUAUGUUACUACAUACAUAAAUAUUCAUAUUUAUAGAUAUGUAAAUGUUUAUUUAAAUGUCAGUGGCACCUUCAUUAUUGCGGAUAAGUAGCCCUGGGUGAACAGUCUGUAUUUAUCAACAUCGAGAUUGAAAUUAAGGCUAACCAUUGACCUCAGCCUGCAAUUGACGUAGUUGACGCACUCUUUCAGAGUCAGAUGAUAGUUCAUCAGUAAAAUGAGAAUAAUAAUAACUACUUCCUAAUAUGGUACAGGAUUAAUUGAGAUACAUUUUGUAAAGGACUCCAAAGGAUGUCUUACACAAAGGAGAAGCUUAAGGAGCUCAUCCCUCUAACUCAGUCACCUGAAGAUCUCAUGGGUAAAGUCAGAGACAUCCUCACCCUGAAGAGAGUAGUGCAGGCAAGUGUGGGAAUGCUGUGUGUGGCAGAGACGACCCUGACCCUGGUCUUCUAAAUCAUUUAGAAGAACCGUGUUCUUUCUGAUGAAGAUUCCCACCUGAAAAUGUUCAUAUCAAGGUGACUGAUGUUCUAGAGCAGCAUUGUCCAGCGAAACUUUCUUCAGUGAUGGGAAGGUCCUGUGCCUCUGCUGUCCAGGAUGGCAUCCACUCCCACCUUUACCUACUGAGCACUUGAAAUGUGGCGACUGCAACUGAGGAGCUGAAUUUUUUUAUUUAAUUUAAAUUUAAGUUUAAAUUUAGGGAACCACAUGUGGCUCAUAGCUACCACGUUGGCAUAGACCUAGAGCUCAUCUAAAAAGUGAAACAAGUGUGGAUCCUCCUAUAACUAAGAAAAAAGAAAACUUACCCUUUCAUCUUGAGGUAGGAGGUGGGACUCAAUUCUGGAAGCAGGGCUCAGACAUUGGACCAAAUUGAGGACUAGUUAAAAUAGGAACUAGGAAUGGGGUGGAGACACCUUUCCAUAAGACAUGCCCACCAGUGUGCCAUGUCAAUUUACCAUUGUUGUGGCAACACCUGGAAGUUACCACCCCUUUCCAUGGCAAUGACCUGAUGACCCAGAAGUUACCACCCCUUUUCUAGAAAUUUCUGCAUA
rnacentral:lncRNA from 10 species